rnacentral:rRNA from 1 species
CUUUGGCUUCGCGGCCGGCUGAAAUAUUUUUUUCACCCAUGUCUUUUGCGCACUUGUUGUUUCCUGGGCGGGUUCGCCCGCCACCAGGACCAAACCAUAAACCUUUUUUUAAUGCAGUUGCAAUCAGCGUCAGUAAAAAACAAUGUAAUUAUUACAACUUUCAACAACGGAUCUCUUGGUUCUGGCAUCGAUGAAGAACGCAGCGAAAUGCGAUACGUAGUGUGAAUUGCAGAAUUCAGUGAAUCAUCGAAUCUUUGAACGCACAUUGCGCCCUUUGGUAUUCCAAAGGGCAUGCCUGUUCGAGCGUCAUUUGUACCUUCAAGCUUUGCUUGGUGUUGGGCGUUUUUUGUCUCCCUCUUGCUGGGAGACUCGCCUUAAAACGAUUGGCAGCCGGCCUACUGGUUUCGGAGCGCAGCACAUAUUUUGCACUCUGUGUCAGGAGAAAAGGACGGUAAUCUAUCAAGACUCUACAAAUUUUAACUUUUGACCUCGGAUCAGGUAGGGAUACCCGCUGAACUUAAGCAUAUCAAUAAGCGGAGGA